rnacentral:rRNA from 1 species
CCUACGGGUGGCAGCAGUCGAGAAUCAUUCACAAUGGGGGAAACCCUGAUGGUGCGACGCCGCGUGGGGGAAUGAAGGUCUUCGGAUUGUAAACCCCUGUCAUGUGGGAGCAAAUUAAAAAGAUAGUACCACAAGAGGAAGAGACGGCUAACUCUGUGCCAGCAGCCGCGGUAAUACAGAGGUCUCAAGCGUUGUUCGGAAUCACUGGGCGUAAGGCGUGAGUAGGCUGUUUCGUAAGUCGUGUGUGAAAGGCGCGGGCUCAACCCGCGGACGGCACAUUAUACUGCGAGAAUAGAGUAAUGGAGGGGGAACCGGAAUUCGCGGUGUAGCAGGGAAAUGCGUAGAUAUCGAGAGGAACACUCGUGGCGAAGGCGGGUUCCUGGACAUUAACUGACGCUGAGGCACGAAGGCCAGGGGAGCGAAAGGGAUUAGAUACCCGUGUAGUC